AUGAUUCUGUUGUCUCCUUGGCUCUCCCUCUCAGCCUACACUCGUACAAUUUGUUUUGCAAAUUUGUUCCAGCUCCACUGUCUGAUCCUGAAACCAUCAAGCUCUGACUAGACCAUAGACGGCCGGGCUAAGCAAGUAACUUCGUACGUGUAGGCACGAGGCAUUGCAUGCCUGCCUGCGUAUGGCAGCAUGUAACGAAUGCUUCUUCGUAUUUCUUCCGUAAACUAAUAUAAAAGCAUUUAGAACACUACUUUAGUAAUUCAAAUGCUUUUAUCUUAGUUUACAGAGGGAGUAGUUCGGAAUGAGCGGGAUCAGAAAAACACGUUUCACUUGAUUUGUUGAAACAGGCCUAAUACGCAGUCCACGGCAGUGGUCCAACUUGGCUCCUAAGCAAGCCCAGCAUGGCGAAGAACUGGCAACGCAUGCACGUCCGCAUGCCUGAGGAUCGCUACCCAUCUCGCACGCCAUCUACUGGUCGCUGACCUGCUCCUUAGGGUUUCGGUUAGCUGCUGUUGUACUGCCCGUGUAUAAGUACCGAUGAUAUAGAUUGAAUAAACGCGUGGAAACUCAAAACCUUUCUCAAAUCUCACAUGGUAUCAGUUUUCUUCUGAUCCUCUCGCUUCCGUUCUCCACCGCCGUCAUGGCCUCCCCUCGCUCCUCUCUCUCCGACGAGGUCAAUCCCUUUGCCGUCCUCGAGCCUGCCUCUGCAGCCAUCCUUCGUCUCAUCCACAUCCAGGAUCACGCCCCCGUCAUCCUGGAUCUCCACACCCCUUCCUUCUCCACCUGGCGUACCUAUUUCUCGUCGACCUUCCACGAAUUUCAAAUUCGGGAUCACGUCGACGGCUCGAUGGAUGCUCACGCCAUGCGCGACGACGCCAACUGGAUGGGGGUCGACGCCACUAUCAUCAAAUGGCUGUACCGCAUCGUCAGCAACGAGAUCCUCUCGCACGUCAUCCGCGACGACGACUAGGCCCUCGGCGUUUGGACCUCCAUCUGCCAACUCUUCCUCGACAACCAGCUAAAUCGCCAGGUGCUUCUCACGACCGAGUUCUACAGCCUCUCCCAGGAUGGUAUGGGGCUCUUCGACUAUUGUCUCCGCUUCAAGGUGCUCGCCGACAAGCUCCGGGACGUGGGCGCCCUGGUCUCCGACGCCACCAUGCUCACGAACUUGAUCUGCGGGCUCGGUCCAGACUACGCCAACGCUGCUUCCAAUCUCAACCUCCUCACUGAGCCGACGUUCGCCCGCGCCGUCAAUUACCUGGGUCUUGAGGAGCGGCGGAUGUGGUAGUCCUCUCUGCAGCGCAACCAGGCCGCCCUCGCGGCGUGCACGGCUUCAUCAGCGCCUCCCGCAGCUCCUCCCACGGCACCCCCCGCAGCCGGCACCUCUCCACCCGGCCACACCCGCAAGAAGAAGUGGGGUUCCGAUGGUCGCCCGCGUGCCGCCGGCCUGGCUCCCACCGGGCGUCCCUCCGCGCCAUCCGGUCCCGCUCCUGCGCCCUGGUUCGGGGGGUGUCAAUCCUUGGACAGGAGUCAUCCACGCGUGGGCCUUGCCACCGGCGCGCGCACCCCACCCUGGCAUCCUCGUAUCGCGUCCUGCGAGCCACCAGGCUCUGGUGGCUACCUCUCCGUCUGGUGGCUACCCCACACCGCCCCCAACGCGUGGCCACCCACGCCUCCUGCGCACUGGCUCGGCAACUCCGACGGGGCGGCCACCUCCUACGAUCUCGCGCUCCUGGCAGACCUGCAUUAGGCUCCCUUGCCGGCCACCUACAUCGGCAACAACGACUGGUUCAUGGACAUUGGCGCGUCCUCACACAUGGCCUCCCACCCUGGUAUCCUUUCCCACUCUCAGCCCUUCCCUACGUCUACUCGCAUCGUGGUGGUGAUGGCUCUUCAAUCCCCAUCACACACCGCGUUGAUCUCUCCCUCUCCUCUCACUCUCCCAUUAAACUCUAUGAUGUGCUUGUUUUUCCUCAGCUCAUUACUAACCUUGUUUCCGUUCGUGCCCUUACUCGUCAGAAUUCCGUUUCGGUUGAAUUUGACCCUUUUGGUUUUUCUAUCAAGGACCUGCAGACCAAGAUGGUGCUGCUCAGAUGUGAUAGCCCCCGCGAUCUCUAUCCGCUCCAGCCAUCACUACCCAACCACGCCCCCGUUGCCCUCCUCACCGGCGUUGAUCUCUGGCAUGCCCGAUUGGGGCACCCCGGCACCUCGACCAUGCACCAGCUUCUUCGUAGUGAUCUUUUUCAAUGUAAUAAAAGUGCGCCACACUCUUGUUCUGCUUGCCGCUUGGGCAAGAGUACUCGCCUUCCCUUUUCUUCUUCCCCUCAUGUUUCUCGUUUUCCAUUUGAAUUGUUGCACUGUGAUGUAUGGUCCUCUCCUAUAAUAAGCAAUUCGGGGUUUCAAUACUACUUGGUGGUCCUUGAUGAUUUCUCGCAUUUCGUAUGGACUUUCCCGUUGCGUCGCAAGUCGGACGUGCUCUCUACGCUCACUUCCUUCUUUGCAUUUGUUCGUACCCAGUUUUCUCGUCCCAUUCUCGGCCUCCAAACCGACAACGGGCGCGAAUUCGACAACCAUGGCAUACAUUCCCUGCUCUUCGCGCAUGGCUCCAUCCUCCGCCUCACAUGCCCGUAUACCUCGCAGCAAAAUGGGCGUGCCGAGCGCGUCCUCCGCACCCCCAGCGACGCCGUUCAUGCGCUCCUCCUUCACGUUGUUGUCCCGCUCCGGUACUGGCCCGAAGCCCUCUCCACCGCCACCCACACGCUCAAUAUACGUCCCUGUCGCGCUCGCGGUAACUUCACUCCCCACCACCUCUUCUUUGGUCACCCUCCCCCCUACGACGAACUCCGGAUCUUUGGUUGCCUCUGCUACCCUAAUCUCCCUACCACUUCUCCACACAAACUCGCCCCCGGUCCAUUCCCUGCGUCUUCUUCGGCUAUCCUCCCAAUACCAAGGGUUUCCGUCGUUUCGAUCCGGAAUCUGGGCGCGUCAUCAUCUCUAGGCACGUGUGCUUUGACGAGUCAGUUUUUCCCUUUCAACAGGUCUCCAGCUCAUCUUCGACGCCGUCAGUCCCGCCGCCGCACCUCGGGGCCCUCCCGUGCUGUUUCUACCUGCACCACCGGCUCCCCUCGCUGCGCGCCCCGUGGGCCUCGCUGUGCUGCACCAGUUGCGGAGCCGCCAGCACGUGCCUCCCCUGCAACGGGGGGCUGGCCGAGACCGGCGGUUCCUCCACCGACUGCAUUUGGAGCCUCGGCCCCGUCUACUGCACCACUCGCCGCCGCUCCCGACGCCACACCAUCUACACCACCUAUGCGCAGCACCUCUGGGCAGGCCUCUUCAUCGACUGCGUCCAGCGCCUCGGCCUCUUCCCGGGGGGCUAUCGCCCCACCUGCUGCCCCCGUCCACUCCGGGGUGGUUCGGGUGUACAUCAUCCUAGUCGGAAGUACUCCUCCAACGAGUACGUCUGCGCUGCCACCACGACUGCACCUUUGCCGCUCCCUGCGUCCGUUCACUCGGCGCUCCGGGACCCUCACUAACGCGCCGCCAUGCAAGACGAGUACGACGCGCUGUUGCGGAAUCGCACCUGGCAGCUCGUUCCGUGCUCUGCUUGCGCCCACAUCAUCAGCAACAAGUGGCUGUUUCAGCACAAACUGCACCCCGAUGGUUCUAUGGACAGGUACAAAGCUCGCUGGGUCGUCCGCGGCUUCCGGCAACAUGCAAGUCUCGACUUCACCGAAACCUUCGCCCCCGUCGUGCAGCCUGGCACGAUCCGUCCCGUCCUUCAGCUCGCCUGCUCGCGCCGCUGGGUCGUCCAUCAACUUGACGUCUCCAACGCCUUCUUGCAUGGGCACCUGACGGAGCAAGUCUUCUGCGAGCAGCCAGCUGGCUUCGUCGACCCUGCGUGCCCCGACAACGUCUGCCUGCUCUCUCGCUCCCUCAACGGCCUCAAGCAGGCUCCCCGCGUCUGGUACCAGCGCAUUGCUGUGUUCCCGGUCCGCGUCGGCUUCGUCAUCACCAGGUCUGACACGUCGCUGUUGGUCUAUCGCCGCUGCACCGACAUGGCUGUCACGCCCAAGAUGCGACCCUAUCCUCAAUUUGGCACGAAGGCCUCGUCAGGGAUAGAAGCGCAUCUCGUCGUGUCGCAAGAAUGGAUAUCGUUACAAGUACAUGUACUGAAAAGAAGAGAGAUAUAUAUAGAAUUGGCUUACACUCGCCACAAGCUACAUCAGAGUCACAACAGUACAUUACAUAUUCAUCAAGAGUAAGAGCAGGGUCCGACUACGGACGAAAACAAACGACACAAGAAGAACGACGUCCAUCCUUGCUAUCCCAGGCUGCCGGCCUGAAACCCAUCCUAGAUCGAAGAAGAAGAAGAAGAAGAAGAAGCAACUCCAAAUGAACAAUCAACGCUCUCGCGUCAAGUAAAACUUUACAUGUACCUGCAACUGGUGUUGUAGUAAUCUGUGAGCCACAGGGGACUCAGCAAUCUCAUUUCCAAAGGUAUCAAGACUAGCAAAGCUUAUUGGGUGAGGCAUGGUUAAGUGGUGAGGUUGCAGCAGCGGCUAAGCAUAUAUUUGGUGGCUAAACUUACGAGUACCAGAAAUAAGAGGGGGAAGAUCUACGCAUAGCGAACGUGAACUACGGUUGAUCAAAUAAAUGGUCCUGAACACCUACCUACGUCAGACAUAACCCCACCGUGUCCUCGAUCGGAGAAGGAACACACGAAAGAGACAGUCACGGUUACGCACACAGUUGGCAAGUUUUAAUUAAGUUAACUUCUAGUUAAGUAGAAACCAGUGUUAAACAAAGUUUCCACGUUGCCACAUAACCGCGGGCACGACUUUCCGAAAGAUUUAACCCCGCAGGGGUGCUCCAACUAGUCCAUCACAAAUUAUCACAAGCCGCAUAGAAAUCCUCAAUCACGAAGCUCGCGAUCUCGUCGGAUUCCCUAGUGGAAAACCUCAACUCUGAGAUUACCCAAAGCAUCACCGGAAUCCCGAUGCACAAGAUAUCUCGAUAGGUUAAAACUAAUCCAGCAAGGCCGCCCGACGUGUCGACGAUCCCGAUAGGAGUCGCGUACCUCGUUCUCAGGACACGACGGAUGGGUCACACUAGGAGAUAACAAACCUCGGGUUGCCCCGCGGUGGCCCCGUAGUCUGCCAAUUUGGACCAACACUCAUGAGGAGCACUGGCCCGGGGUUGAUUAAAUUAUCCUCGGGGUCCGGAAAGUCCCUAUGCAAUUUUACUAGGUGAUUAGGCAAAUGUAGUACCAAAGUUGGGCCUUGCCAGACCAGUCUUAAUCUAAAACGAAUUAUCAAAGGGGGUCCCCAUAACAACUCCGAUCGUGUUAGGAGCGCUCAAUUAUGGAACAUAACACCGGUAGCCGAAACUAAGGGGGCAAAGGUGGAACAAAACACCAGGCUAGAAAGGCCGAGCCUUCCACCUUUUACCAAGUAUAUAGGUCCAUUAAAUUAAAUAGCAUUUAAAUAUGGUGAUAUAACAAGGAACCCAUGUUUUUACGUGGAAGCAACUGCACCUGCACCUGCAACUAGCAACGCUAACACAGGGUUAAGCAAGCAGUAACAUAGCCAAUCGGUGGUUUGCUAGGUUGAACAGGUUGAUGGUUUUCAUGGCAUUGUUGAGAGGCUGAUAUUUAACAUGUGGUAGGCAACGAGACAUAAUCGAUAGCAUCGAAAUAUCUGGCAUGGCAAUGAUAGUAAUGGUAUCUGGGGAAAUGGUCAUCUUUCCUGAGAUCCCGCUUGGAAGAAGAAUGACUCCAUGAAGCAGACGAACCGACGUAGUCGAACGGGUCCUCACAUCCGACACGCUUGCGGAACUCUAUCGAGACGGAGGAAACCGGAAACAAGCAUCAACACAGAUAUUCACCACAUGAUGCACAACACAAAUGAUGCAUGAGCAGCUGAACGCAUGCAAGACACGGCAUGACAAUUCACGACAAACAAACACUACACAUUAAGUGAAGUUCAAUAUGCAACGAGUUGCAUAUUGACGAAACUCCAUGUUUAUUAUUUAGUUCUAUCCCGAUUAGAUACAUGACAAUAUUAAAUGUGGUUAAACAUGGCAAGAGGUGAAGCGUAAUUAAACUACCUAUCUAGGCAUUUUAAAUGAGGUCGGAAAUGACAUAUAACACCUCCGAAACGACCUCACAUGUUAAUUUAUGAUUCUGUCCAGAUCUGAACUAACACAUUUAAUUAGUUGUUAAGCACAAAAACAAAUAGGUUCACGUGAUUCUACUCGUCGUUACAAGAAAUUUACACAUAGAGAACAUCUCCAAUGGAAGUACGGUUCAAAAGAUACAAGCAUCACAAGAUAUGAUGUCAUGAAUGCAAUAUGUGUGCAACGACGGUCACAGGCACUUCAAAACAUACAACCAGCAAGGGAAAAUGAAACUACACGAGAUUCUAAGCAAGUUUCAUGUAGGACACAAUCAGAACGGAGCUACGGAUCAAAAGCUACGAGCAAAACAAGAAAACACUACAAUCUGCCAAAAUCAGCCACAUAGCAUUUUCUACGCCCCACAACUACGAGCUACUCAACUCCAAUAUACUCAACCAAGGCAUGUCACAAAAGAGGGCAAGACGUUCUACCACAAACAACUAACAACAACUAGCAUGGCAUCAAGGAUCACUAGGAAAAGAAGUCACAAAAUGGCAUCCCACACACUAUUUCAGACUUAGUGAAAAUUACACCUCAUGAGAGUGCAGUUUUCGAUCUGAAGCCAUAUUGACAGCAGCAAAACCUAUAUCUACAGGACUCCAAAGGACAUGAAAAAUCACAGCAUGCUAGAGAAACACAAGGUUUACAACUAACUCCAUUGGACCAACCUCAAAAGAGCUACAGAUCACAAGAUAGAAGCAAAACAGAACAGCAACAAAAUAUAACAAAUACCAGACUUAGAAAUAUUUCAGCUCCUUCAAAUCAGCACUAUUUCUAGCAACUUGAGAGCAAGCAAACCACACCUAAACAUGCAUUUCUAUUGCAACUAAAAAUAACAGAGGCUAGACUAAACAUCAAAGAACAACUCCCUAGUUGACAACUUAAUCAAACGAAGUACGAAAUAAAUCCUACGAAAUAGACAAGAGGGCAACAUAGCAAAAUAUCGCGCGAACUAACUUACUAGAAAGCUAAAACUAAUUGCACAGAAAAAUCCCAUGGAUUUUUCUACCCCGAAAACAUAUUAAAUAUGUGGGGUUGCGCAACAAAAAUAAUGCCACACGAAAAUGCGAGAUAAUAACCUAGACACGGAAAAAUAAACUAGCGCAAUUCCCUACACGCAAAAAUACGAAUGACCGCUCUAAAAUACAUGCAAAAAUGGUUCCUAAAACAUGGACAUUUCUACUACGGCAUACGUGCAAUACGGACACACGUGAAAAAUAAAUACGGGACGCAAAUAUAUUAGGACAGCACGUUAAUCUAUGCUUACGGCAUGCUAAACUUUGUCAAACAAAUAUGCAAGUUGCACCAACUUAUUCUACGUGCAAAACUACGCGAAAUCCCUAUGCUACUCAUCGCGAUCCGACUUACGGAAUAAAAGAUACGAACGUUUUAAUAUUACUAUAUAUCCUGAAAUCUAUCUAAAUCGAAAACGCCAAUAAAACAUAUUGGUCCGAAAAGGUGGGCGCUACAUAGAUAUCAUGCACACGGGGGAGGAAUAGAGGCUCACCUCGGGAAAAGGCCUCUUGGGCCGGUCUGGUGCAGCAGAGGUGGAGUGGGCCUCGGGGGUGAACCGGCCUGUGCCUGGCGGAGCAGCUGGGUCGGCACGGGGGUGCUGGCCGACUGGGCCGGACGCGGGGCGGGGCCCAAGAGGGAGACGAGCGCUGCGCUCGUCGAACUUCUCGCUGGCUGCCGAGCUUGAGCCAUGGCGUCGACGGAUCUGGCAGUUGCUGCGGCUGGCGAGCUCCAGCAGGAGCAAGGGGCAGCCGACUUGGGCGGGCAGGGCCCGAGGCGGACUGAAAGGCGGCGGCGGCUCGGCUUGCUGCCGGCCUCGGGUAGACCUGGCUCGGGGAGUUCCCUCGGGCAGUUCGCACGGCGGGACGACGAAGCUGACGGAGGCGGGCCGGAGCUUCGGGCUGCGGGGCGGCCUCCGGCGACGGCGGGGCUGCUACGGGGGCUGGCCACCCGGGGAGGCGGCGGAAGGAGGCGGCGGCUCGACGGGGAAGGCGCGGUGAGGCACGGGAGGUGGCUGGAAGGCGGGGCUCGCGAGCGGCGACGGAUCUGGGCUCGGCCGGGCUCGAUCUGGGCCUGGCGGGCCCAGCGGCUGCGCAGAGGGGGAGGGAGGAGAGAGAGUGGGUGGAUUAGGGUUUCGGGGGCACGCUUUUCGAGGAGAGAGGGGGUUGGCUGCCUCAAAAUAGGAGGGGGUCUAUUUAUAGACAAAUGGGGGGCUAGUUUAACCGGAAUUUCGUUCCGGAUCCAACCGUGCGGUCGGAUUCGGACGAUUCCGCACGCGGGAACGGGCAAGUGGCCGUGUAGGGUGGUUUACCGGAGACGAGAGGGAAAACGGGCGGCGCGGCAACAAUUUUUAAAACACCGAUAACCGUCCGACGGUAGACCGAAUACGGUGCCGCUACGGUCGACCGUUCGGGUACCAGACGAACCCCGACCGCGACGAAAUUCGACAGGCGACCUAGCUAUAACUAACUACGACCGCAUGCCAAGUUUCACCCCGAUGAGAGAAAGUUUUACGCACACUUUUAAAACAGGGUUCGAACGAUGCCGCGGGCGCGUGCGUGUGUGAACGGGCUCAGAACGAACAACGACGAGAACCGGCAACUAACAACGGAUGCAAGUUUGACAACUGGUGGCACCGCAGAUGCCGAUGCAAUGCAGAUGAUGCGGCAAAAGAAAAUAGACACACGACGAAAACGGAAUAGAAGGGGAAUCUUCUGGAACGUCGGUCUCGGCCUGUCACAAUGGCGUACCUUCUGCUGUACGUUAUUGAAAUCGUCUUGACGGCCUCCACUGACGCUCUCCUUCGCCACUUCAUUGGCCUCCUUCAGCACGAGUUCGCCCUGAAGGACCUCGGCGCGCUUCAUUACUUCCUGGGCGUGGAGGUAACACGCCGCCCCGAUGGCUUCUUCCUCUGUGAAAAGAAGUAUGCCCUCGAGCUGCUGGACCGCGCCGGCAUGACCAACUGCAAACCAGCGUCUACCCCCAUCGACACCUCGGGCAAGGUCUCCGGGCAGGCUGGCGUCCCCUUCUCCGAUGCCUCCUUCUACCGCAGCGUCAUCGGUGCCCUCCAGUACCUGACGCUGACGAGACCCGAUCUUCAGUACGCGGUGCAACAAGUCUGCCUCCACCUGCAUGCCCCGCGCGAUGUUCACUGGACCUUGGUGAAGUGCAUCUUGCGGUACAUCCGCGGGUCGCCCUCGCUUGGGCUCACUCUCUGCGCCUCCUCGUCGCUUGACAUCGGCGCCUACUCCGAUGCCGACUGGGCCGGCUGCUCCGACACUCGCCGUUCGACCUCUAGCUACUGCAUCUACAUGGGGCCUUCGCUGGUGUCGUGGUCGUCCAAACGACAACCCACCGUGUCCCGAUCUAGUGCGGAGGCCGAGUACCGUGCCGUCGCCAAUGCGGUUCCUGAGUGCUCCUGGCUGCGUCAGCUCUUAACUUAGCUCCACUGCGACGUCGCCAAAGCCACUGUGGUCUACUGCGACAACGUCUCGGCGGUGUACCUCUCCGCCAACCCCGUCCAUCACCGUCGCACCAAGCAUAUCGAGCUCGACAUCCAUUUCAUCCGCGAGAAGGUGGCGCUAGGGCAUGUCCGUGUUCUUCACGUGCCCACGGCUCAAUAAUUCGUCGACGUCAUGACCAAAGGGCUUCCACCGUCGGUGUUUCGCGAAUUUCGCUCCAGUCUCAGCAUCUCCGACGACGAGGCAUCGACUGUCGGGGGGGGGGGGGGGGGGAAGGGGGGGGGGGGGUUGAAACAGGCCUAAUACGCACACCACGGCGGUGGCCCAACUUGGCUCACAAGCAAGCCCAGCAUGGCGAAGAUCUGGCAACGCAUGCACGUCCGCAUGCGUGGGAUCGCUACCCACCUCGCACGCCAUCUACUGAUCGCUGAGCUGCUCCUUAGGGUUUGAGUUAGCUGCUGCUGUACUGCCCUUGUAUAAGUAUGGAUGAUAUAGAUUGAAUAAAUGUGUGCGGACUCAAAACCUUUGUCUCAAAUCUCAC
rnacentral:lncRNA from 1 species